UAAUGAAUUGUUUGGCACACCAA
rnacentral:siRNA from 1 species